CACAAAUACAAUAUAAAAUAAAAUAUAAAAAAUAUUAUAUACAUCAUUUAAAAUCAUUCACAUUACAACAUUACAAGCAUCACAAACAAGUACAUUGUCCACCUUACAUGUUUAUCUCAAACAAACAAGAAAUGAAUUUUUCUCAUGUACUGGUGGCUAGUUGUCUUAUUAAGCUUCAUCAUAUUCCUUUAUUUAGAUAAAACAUAACGACACAAACACAAGCUGCUUCGUUUGGUAUCCCAUCAUCCAUCGGUACGUUUGGUGAUGAUCAGCAAUUGCAUGGAUCACAGUUGAAGUUUGAUCCACACUUGCAGGCAUGCCCUCCUUCAGCUCCAAAGUUCUUCUCAGACCCAUCAAAGUAACUGUAACAUUCGCCAGAGUUUAAUGUAUAUACAUAUAUAUUUUUAAUUAGAGUACUAAUUCAAAGAUAAGAAAUUAAAGCUUAUUUCGGAUGAAUUAUACAUACGUCUUUGUUGGUGCAACCCCAACGAUGAUGGUGGCAGUUGUGGUGGUCUCUAUAUCAAGGUGCACCCCGCAUCUGCACUCAAACAUUUCAGUAAUUUUGAAAGAAAAUAAAAGAAAGAAAUUUGUGUGCAUGUUUCGUACAUAACUAUGCUUUUAACUGAAUAAUAAUAUUUUUAAUAUUAAAAAAGAAAAAACUAGAUAAUUGCUUCCCCAACUCAGAUCGUGAGAUCAAUGCUCAAUUUACUGUCCCAAAGGGCUAGGGGCACUAGGCUGUCUUGUUGCACUCGCUAUAAGCCCAAUCAAAAACUAUAACAACUUAUUGUUAUUGUUGAUAGAGUUGAGAAUUUAUAUGCCCCCAAAAAAAUGAGAACUUGUACAUAUUUCUACAUGUUUGGAUGUGCGACUGAGAUAUGUAAUAAGAAGUUUUACCCUCCACCGUUGCCACACUUGCAGUUAGAACCACAGCUACAAUUUGAUCCGCAGCUAGACAUUUUUCUUCAAAGUAAGAAAUUAAGAGAAUAUGGAUGAUGAAUGAAUUAAGGUUAUUCUAGAUAUUGUACUCAACCUUCUACUACUUAUAAUACAAUACAGAGGAGAGACAAUGCUUACCCAACGUACACAUGUAUUAAUGUAAUUAGCCGACAGUUACCAACUGCUAAAGAUUAUUGUAUCUUACAUCGUCAAUUAGACUUUGCAAUGCAACAGUAAAGUUGUCUGCCUGGAUAAAACUAAAAAUGUAGUUCUUUCAUGUAUAAUACAUAAGAUAAGCAUAUAAAAGAGAUUACCUUAAGACUAUCCGAAAAGAGCAAGCUCUGUUGCAUAGAAACCUCAUCAUAGUUGGCUGGUUCUCGGGGAAGGGGGAUUGAACCAAAUGAAUCUCAUUUCUUGUUGUUAAAGCUGAUAGUUAUUGACCUAAAUACAACACAAAGUACAAAUCAAUUUGUUAUCAAUACUAAAGCAGAAAGAUUAACCCAGAAGAAUGCCUUUAAUACUUGUGCAAUCAUCCCCUAGAGAAACAUAUCCACAAACUUGCAAACAGAAACUUUAAUAAUUCUGCCAAUAUCAAAAUCCCUUUAAUUUAACAUCCUAAAUUUAACCAUUACACCCUCAUUGAAACUGAAUCCUUAAAAACAUCAAAAGUUGCAAUCUUUUAACAAAAUAAUUCAAUUCAAUAAUAGGGUUAACCAAAAAUAAUGGAAAUAAAAACGUUAAGAGUAUUGUUUACAAAUACAAUAUCGGCUGUAACUUCUAAAACAUCUUCAAUUUUAAUCUAAAAACAAACCCACAAGUAAAACUAGUAAGGAAAUAAAGAGACCUAAAACCAAUAUUGCAUAUUACAAGCAGAUGAUAGGUUAGAUCUUCAAUUUCCUAAUGGAUAAGCGAAUAAAGAAACAAACAAAUGAGACAUGACUGAGGGAUUCAUCUGCCAUAGCACAAAGCCACCAGACUCUGCUAUUUUUGAGGAGUUUCUACUCUUUAUCACCUUUAUAGCAGUCUCCAUAUCAAAGGAUAGCAUUCGCACCUACAUUGGCAGUUAGCUAAGGCUUUCUGCCAUUGCUAACUAACAACAGCUCUACCCCUUCUUUGUUCAAUAUUUAAUUUUAAGAUAGCUUACAAGAUGUACUAACAUAUAAGUUAUACAAGCAGCUCUAUAUGCUUAUUUAUAACCAUUUUUAAAUAUGUAACACAGAACAUAUAUGGAAGUAUUUUAAGCAUAUAAAACCCCUCCAUUUCAGCUAUAAUUGUGUUCUCCUUUAAUUUACUCAAGCGUUUGCCCCAGCACAAUCAUGAACUUCAUUCAUCCAAGCUCUAGCUAAGUGAAGAAAUCAGGAUGUACGAAACAAGGCAGAAAAAAGUAUCUUACCUGAAGUAGGAGAUCAUCCAGAGCCAGGAAUGGUUUGGCAAAGCUAUGAACACACAAAUCGCAGCAGCUAACCAGGCAGUAGCAACUAUUCCAAUACAAAUCUUUGGCACCUUUUGAUGUCUACGCUGUACGAAACCAUCAAAACCAUCAUAUUCAAUAUGAGAAUAAAUUAUGUACCAUGGUAAAUAAUAAAUACAAAAUCUGUUAAUACAAUUCAAAUUCCUUGAUUUUCUCUUAAGUUCCCUACAUGUCAUGUUGUUAUUAGAGUGUAAAACUCUAGUUUUACAGGCCAUCCUUAAAUAGUUUAGUCUCAUUCAGUAUAUCAUUUUACAGGCCAUGUGAACUGAAUAAAAUUAGAUCUUUUUUAAUUUAAUCAACAAGAGAUCACAGAUAUAGAAAGUUGACACUUACCUGGCACAAGGGGCUAUCUUUAGGAAGAUAGCUACCAAUUGUUUUCCCAUAAACUUCACAAGUAGAGAAGUGAAUGAGAUGUUUAUUGUUCUCUGAACAGUAUUUCACCUAAAAGCAAAAGAAACACAUGAAGUUUUAGAUCUUCACAUAAACUUGCACACUACGAUGCUAUUAGUCAAGAGCACUACGAUUUCCCUUUAUCCUUCUCACCCUACGAUCUUCUCUUGCUCGUGUUGUCGACUCUACGUUCCCGAGAGCUCACUACGAUCGUUGACUUGUAAACUUCAUGUUUCCUUCAGCACACUACGAUCGUGGAGUUAACUCAACACUCGUUGGGACCACUCUAUGAAGUCCGAAGAGUUUCAUUCAAGGCAGGCACACUACGAUAUUCAGGCUCUACGUUUUCUGCCUUGACUUCUGUAAUGUUGAUCAACUUGAUGCACUAUGAUUUCUUCAAGACUAAUCUAUUACAUCUUAAGAUCAACCUAAUAGUUUUGAUCUUUCUAUCUAUACAUUCUUUAACAGAAUGAUACACGUUGAGAGCUUAGAUCAACCUAACAGUUUUGAUCUAUCACUAAGUCCUUGUACACAUAUUCAUUUAAGGACCUUACAAAUAAUCAUGAACACAUGCAUUAAAACAUCAAAUCAUAAUAAGCAUUCUCCCAACAAUCUCCCCUUAUUUGAUGUUGAUAUAACCAAGGAGAUUUGUUGUCAUGAUUAUUAGUGAUUAGAUGUAUUUGCAGGAAAUUUAAACAUGACUUAGUAUUUCAGUGAGCAACUGAAAUUUCUAGAGAAUAAGCAUGAAUUUAUUGAUGAUCAGAAGAUAUUACAAUAUAGCAUUACAUCAAUAAAACAUUAAACUCUCAACUUAUCUCUGUUUUCUUGGUCUCUUCUGUGGAGGAGGAUUGGCAUACUCUUCAGCCCUUCUUUUCCUUUGAGCUUCCUCAUUCCUUGCUAACUCUUCCAGCUCGCUUAGACUUAGAACUGGAUUCUCUUCAUGUCUGCGCAUGAAUGCAGGAUCUCCAAUUGGCAUUCUUAUGCGUACCGUAGACACGUCUUGUGAGCUAGGAGUUGGCUCCUUAUGACUCAGAGGAAUAGCUGUAGGAAUAGCUGUUACAAUUUCCUGCUGACCAGAUCGUUGAGUCUGAUGAUGUCUUGCAGGAGGGCUUCGUGAUGUCUGAGCAUGAAAUUGACUUCUCCCCCUUUCUUGAGUUUCAUGACCUCUUCCUCUGCCUUGGCCUCCUUGAUCUCCUUUCCCUUUAUUAUUCUCCCCCUUUAUGUCAGCAUCAAGGGUUCGAAUAUCGGCAGACAGCCGAUUAACUCCUUGAACAAGCUCAUUCAGUUGGCUUUGGGUUUGAGCAAUGUCCUCUCUAUUCUCCUUGAUCUGUUUUUCAGCUCUAGCUUCUUUAUUUUGGAGGACUGUCAGAAUCAUAUCAUUAUGCUUCUCCUGAUUGGCAUAAGAUUUCUGGAAGUCAUAGACAGAAGCUUUCAAGUUGAGAAUAUUGUCCAGCAUAAUUUGAUGUUGACGAUCUUGGUUUUUCUGAAUUUCAAGCAUAGCCUCACGUUGUUUGGAAGCAACCUGGAAAUGGAUCUCAUCUCUGUCUGAUAUGCUCUUCAGAAUCUCUUUGAUAAUUUCCCUUAGCUUCGUAGUGAGCUCAGUAUUCAUUGUACUAGGGGAUUUGUUAGCAACUUUUAUCAUUUGAUUCAAGCGGAUGUUGAGGAGAUCAGAGUGGGAUUCCAGACUUGCUUCGAUAGACUUGAUCAUCUGCUCAGAGGUUUCUUUUAAGUCAUCCUUUGUGGGAAGUCUUGGGAGAGCAUUAUUGGAUUGGGGAUUGUCCAUUUGAGGGCUUCUUGGUGGAGAUUGAUCUUGCAAAUUAUACAAUGCUAGAUCAAGACUGAAAUAAUCAUGUGAUGAGGAGGAUGGUAUAUCAGCUGGAGGGGUUUGGGUUUGGACAUCUGAGAUAUGUGACUCUACGAUUUCAAUGUUUGACUCUACGAUGUGGCUAGAGUCUGGAAUUGUAGAGUUGGUUAUUUGAGGGAGUAGGGUAAGGUUGAUUUCUUCUGGUUCUUCAGUUACAGAAUUUUUGGAUUAUGCAACUAGAAACUGAUUUAAUGGGUUGAGAGUCACUUCUAGCCAUUUAGGAAAUUCAUAGAAAUGACUAAAUGAAGAUGAUGACAGGUGAUUAACUCUAAAGCUUGUAGGGAUAGUCAAUACCUCAGGUUUGGCUUUUGAUGAGGAAUGGUUGGUAAUCAGCUUUUUGGCGAAGGUGACUUCCCCUGGAAAUCCAUGAGCCAGAACUGUGAUUGUUGGAUAUUCCUUGAAGCUCCAAAACAUGUGAUCCCAUGAUUUCAGAAUUUGAGCUUGAUGGUAUGCCAUCAUGGGUAGGUAAGAAAACAUUUGGUUGUACAAAUAGUUUUUGUAUCCAUCUUUUCCUACACCCGUUAUUUCGAGCUCAUCAUCAUCAUCAUCCUCCUCUUUCUCUUCUUUGUUUUCUUCUGAAGAAUCCAUUAUCUCAAUGGCCUUUGGGAGGUUUGACAUUGGUUCAUCUUCAUCUUGAACAAGGACCUCUUCUUCAGCCAUUGGGAUAUUAUGAGGCUCCCCCUCAAUAUGAUCAUAUUCCUGGAGGUUUAGAAACACCCCUUCAGCUGGUAAAUCUUCUUCUAAGUUCAGAAAGUCCCUUUCAGCUGGAACCUCUUCUUAAGCAGUAGGCUUCUCCCCCUCAGCUGGUGUAUACUCAAUCAUGAGAAUUUCAGGGUUCUCCCCCUCAGCUGGAGCAUUUUCCUCUUCGGUUGCUUGGGGCAGUUCUACUUUUACAGCCAUGCUCUUGGCUUCCUUCUUCAGUACUUUUUCAUUCUCAAGAAUAUACUUCUUGACCAGCUUUCUCUUUGCUUUGCUGGUUUUAGUCACCACUUCUGGACUCUCUUGAGUCUUUGUUUUGCCACAUUGAUCAGCCACUAUUCUUGAAGAAGCUUCCUCCAUUUCUGCCACACUUGGCCUGGUUUCAGAGAACAGCAGAGUCUCCACAAUCGAAGACACUGUUGGUCUUUUGGACUUAUGACCAAUCUUGUUCUUCUUUAAGAUUUGUGAAAUGGUGGCUUGAUCCUCUUCAGCUUCUUCUUGCUGUUGCAUCUUCCUUAGGCUUCUUAGAGUCUCUAUGUCAGAGGACUCUAUAGGAAUGUUAGUUGUAGAUCCUUAAGGCUCUUCGACUUGUCUUGCCCUUAGCUUUCUCUUGCCUUUGCUUUUUCUGGCAAGAGCAGAGGGUUUUUCCUUAUCUGCUUCUCCUUCUUCUUCAACUUCGUUGACAACAGACAUUCCUCCUUGAAAGCUUGCUUCCUUUUGUUCCCCAGUUCUCCCACUGGACUCUGUCAUCAUUCUCAUAUACUCAGCAAGGUUCGUUUCCCAGUUUUUAAACAACUGCUGUGUUAUUUUUCGGUUUGGGUUAAUGGCUUCUCCUUCAUCAUCCCCGAUUUUGUCACCCAAUGCAGAUUGCAGAAUGAUGCUAAUGAACCUCCCAUACAGCAUCUUCGGGGUGCUCUUUGAUUUCUUCGAGCUUACGAUCCACUUGCCGAUCCACUCGAGCAAUACAGCCCCAUAGUUGAGUUGAGUACCAUACACCAUAGCCGUCAUGAGCUUAAGCUGAGCCUGAUUUACCGAGUCAUGACCUGAGCUCUUGCAGCAGAUGCAUUUCCCAAUAAUGUCAGCCAAAAAUUCAUACCUCUGAGGGAACUCCUUCUUUUUGUAGCCUUUCAUAGAGGGGUUCUUCUUGUGAUUCAUCUUCUUCAGUCCCUCUUGAAAUCUUAUGCUGUCUAGAAAUGGGUGCCCUACAUUUUUGAAACCUAGGGCCAGAUUGACGUCUUCUUCCCCUAAUUUUAUUUCAACUCCUCUAACUCGUGUGGUGAUGGUGUUGUUUUCGUAUACUCCAUUUUUGUAGAACUCAUUCACCAGUUUAGGAUAGAUGAGCCUAUCGGUGCUGAGCGCCUCUUCUAGACCUGCCUUCUUCAGUAAGGCUAAGAUCUUGUGAAACUUAGGUGGAGCGGUUUUGAACUCGUCAAAAUAGAGUCUGUAGCCCGAAAUCACAUUAGAAGCAGUCAUCGAUUCUGUAGUUGAGUAGAGGGAUACUACUGAGCUUUUGUCUAAGUUAGGGUUUUGCUGAGAGAGAGAGAGAGAGAAUGAGAGAUAAUCUUUUGAACUUCAGAUUUCAAAAACAUGGUUUCAAUUUGUACUUGUAACUUUCCUCUCUCUUUUUGUCCUAGUGGGACAGGUGUCGCCUCUUUCUUGGCUCUACGAUUUUGACUGAUUAGGAAUGUACUAAUUUGCCCUUUGAGUCUUUAGAGCUAAGGUGUCCUUAGUAUGAUUAUGAUCGUGGAGUUGGUCUUCUGUUCGUUGAGUCUGUCCUGCGAUCGUCGAGUCUGUCCAGCAGUCGUUGAGUCUGAUCAGCAUUCGUAGAGUCUGUCCUACGAUCAUCGAGUCUGUCCUACGAUUGUUGAGUCUGUCCGGCAGUCGUUGAGUCUGAUCAGUAUUCGUUGAGUCUGUCCUCUAUGAUAGUUGAGUCUUUGCUAUGAUCGUUGAGGUAGAUUUCUGUUCAGCUCUACGAUCGUGGUGCUUCCUUGAUCAUGUCUACGAUUUGAGUUUAGCCUUUAUAUCUGUCAUUGUUAGCACAGUAUAGAGCAUACAUUCAUGGUGAUAGAUUUAGCAUGCCUAGCUCACUUAUUAACUUACUAAAUCUGGAUUCAUCUAGUGGUUUAGUAAAAACAUCAGCAAGUUGAUUUUCGAUAGGAAUAUAUUGUAAAGAUAUAGUUCCAUUUUGCACAUGAUCCCUAAUGAAGUGAUGUCGUAUUUCUAUAUGCUUGGUUCUAGAAUGCAUAACAGGAUUAUGAGUUAUUUCUAUGGCACUUGUAUUAUCACAGUGUAUAGGUAUAGACUUGAAAUCGAACCCAUAGUCAGCUAGCUGAUUUCUCAUCCAAAGGAUCUGAGUACAGCAGCUGCCAGCAGCAAUGUAUUCAGCUUCUGCAGUUGAAGUUGACACUGAGUUUUGCUUUUUGCUGAACCAAGACACAAGUCUGUUCCCUAGUAGUUGAUAAGUGCCACUGGUACUUUUUCUAUCUAUUUUGCAUCAUGCAAAGUCAGCAUCUGUGUAUCCUAUUAGUUCAAAAGAGGAUUCCUUGGGAUACCACAGCCCCAAGUAGGGUGUACCCUUAAGAUACCUGAAGAUCCUCUUUAUAGUAGACAGAUGUGACUCUUUAGGGUUAGCUUGAAAUCUAGCACAUAUGCAUGUUGCAAACAUUAUAUCUGGUCUACUGGCAGUUAGGUAUAAAAGAGAACCUAUCAUACCACUGUAUUGAGUUAUAUCAAUACAUUUACCAUUCUCAUCCUUGUCAAGCUUGGUUGCGGGAGCAAUUGGUGUUUUCAUGGGAGAGGCUGAUUCCAUGCCAUACUUCUUUAGUAAGUCUUUG
rnacentral:lncRNA from 1 species